rnacentral:lncRNA from 1 species
AUAUGCACUCAAUCACACAUGUGUUUAGUUUUAAUGUGUUUCGCUCAAAGAAUCAAAUGUGAAAUUUCUACCAUAAGCUUGCAUAAAGAUCUCAUCUCCACAAUCAUAAUUGCAAAACUUAAAUCAAGAGGACUUUUAUUGGAUGUAAUGAGGCUUAGGGAUAAGGUUAUUGAAACGAAAGAAUAGGAAAACACAAGUUCCAAGCUACAUUGCAAGCAAUUCUUUUGUUUAGAUUUAUAAGAACUCAAGCUCUCCAACGAUUCUUCUGAUACCUCCAAUCACACCCUUAAACUGAAACUUUAAAAACUUUUUAUUUUCUUUGUAUACAAUCUUUCUUUUUCUUUUUUUAUUUUUUUAUUUUUUUAUUUUUUAUUUUUUUUAUUAUUAUUUUUUUUUAUAUACAAACAUGAAAUACCCCCACACUUAUUCUUUUGCCAAACACCUUCAAAGUACUUCACAAACGUAUCUCAUAGGACAAUCUCGCAUUGCUCGCUUGGAAAGGGUAAGGAAAAAUGUUUCAGGUAUAAGGGUAGACAUAUCUGGUGAUAAGAAAUAAAAGGCUCAACAUACACGGCUCAAAUUGGCAAUCUAAUGAUAUCAUUUUUCUUUGGGAAACAUGGUUAUUUGGGCCAUGGUGGUAAACCUAAUGCCUCUAUCAUUUCCAAGUUCAUGCAAUCAAUGACAAACAUUUCGAAAGAUCGUUACGCAAGUUCUAGAGAUGUAUCUCACAUAAGUUCAUCACACAUGAAAGAAUAUGAGUGUAUGAAAAAUGCACACACUUUCAAUAGGCUCAAAAACUCACAUAGGAUGUAUAUGGUCACUAAAUUCACAUAUGAAGCUUUAAGUCAUGCUUUAGUUUCACAUCAACAAGACUAUGUGCAUUUGGUUUUUCAAAGAUGAUCAAACAUGUACAAAACUAACAAGAGAAUUAGGAAUUUCACAAAACACAUGUUAACUAAGUUCUUGAUGAUCAUGGUUCCAAUUUGAUCCAAUUAUAUCAUUGGGUCGGGAAACUAACAAAAAUCUAAUUCAAAACAAUAAGGGAAACAAGACAAUAUUUUUGGAUUUUUAAAUUUUCUGAUUUUUUUUUUAUUUUUUUAUUUUUAAAGAAAACAAAAAGCAACAACACAGAAACAAAUGAAAUUCUAGAGAUUUCUACCCCCACACUUAAACUUGACAUUGUCCCCAAUGUCAGAAAACACUAUAAUGCAAAUAAAAAUAGAAUAAAAUAAAUAAAUAAUAAGAAACAAAAUAACGCAAUUGGACUGAAAACUUCCCUAGUUUGCAGUAAAACCAAGCGAUGACCCCCCAAGCUAAAAUUCUGCAAUCAACUUCAAGGGUGGAAAUAACCAAAAGUUCCUGCAAAGAAAAGAAAUAAUUCAGUUUAGUAACACAAGAAAAAUAUAAAAAAAAUUGCAAACGAAAAAUUGAAAAUCACGAUAAAAGACAAUGAAUAGAACUAAUAAGUGAUCAUUGGU